rnacentral:rRNA from 1 species
UACGUAGGGUGCAAGCGUUAAUCGGAAUUACUGGGCGUAAAGCGUGCGUAGGCGGUUCUCCAAGUCCGUUGUGAAAGCCCCGGGCUCAACCUGGGAAUGGCAGUGGAAACUGGGGGACUGGAAUCUGGCAGAGGGGGGUGGAAUGCCGCGUGUAGCAGUGAAAUGCGUAGAGAUGCGGCGGAACACCGAUGGCGAAGGCAGCCCCCUGGGCUGAGAUUGACGCUCAGGCACGAAAGCGUGGGGAGCAAACAGG